rnacentral:lncRNA from 1 species
AGGGAAUAAAAUAAAAUAGAAAGGGUUCGAGAAUGUACAGAAUUUUAUAGUCGCAAAAGUCUAUAUACAGUAUGCAAAACUUUAUCCCAUGUGAUAAAAUUGCAUAAUAGAGGAGUGUUUUAUGUGCCUAGCAUCAUUUUAUGCUUGCUACGAGUACUAUUAGCACUGUUAGUAUUAAUACCUGUAAUAAAAUGGCUUCCAGGAAGGAAAUAUCACAAGAUCUGCGAAAUGUUAUAGUUAAGCUUAAAAAUAAAAAAACUUUUGGAGAAAUAGCAAAAAUUGUUGGAAAGAUUCAUUUAAGGGUGCAACAAUCAUAUAGAAUGUUGUUAUUAAUGGAAAUGUUUACAAUAAAGCGAGAACUGGAUGUCCAAGGAAGCUAAAUGAACGAGAUGCUCGGUUUAUCAGAAGAAUAGUAUGUAUUAAUCUGAGAUUAAGUGGUCCAAAUUUAGCCAAAGACCUUGCAGCAGUAACAGGAAAGACAGUUCAUCCUGAAACAGUAAGAAAGGUUUUGUGAUUUUCAGGGAGACACAGAAGCAUGCCAAGG